GACAUAAGCUGGAGCUCAGCCAAUUCCGGAGAAGGGCUUGGGGAAAGUGGCAAGUGGAGAGGGGGCAGAAAGAUUUAAGGAGCUCCAGACCAGGAAUGCAGAUCUUUCAUCCUCCAACUGAACAUGAUCCAAGAAGAGGCCCGAAUUCAGCCUGGAACAUACGAAUUUUAUGGCUGUUCAUCUGCAAACUCAGGAGGCUGCUGGACUUAUCCCAGGAGAUGGUGAAUCGGCCUUUCACAGAGUCUGCAUAUUUGGUGCUACCACCAUCCUUAUGAACUUGAGCGACCCACUCGAGCCCCUUCCCUGGAGCCUGGCGGACCCAGUGCAUGUAGUAGUAGCUGUUAGUCAAUCCAGAGGCUUUACAGGAGAGGCUCAGAGACCCGCCAGGCUGUCUCAAGUCUCCCCCAGACUCCACCAGCUGGACAUCACCCUGCACACCUGAAACACAGAAACAGCAUCAGUCAUCAAAACAGAUUCACUCACUCACAUA